UACGUAGGGGCAAGCGUUGUCCGGAAUCAUUGGGCGUAAAGCGCGUGUAGGCGGCUGGCUAAGUCCGCUCUGAAAGCCCGGGGCUCAACCCCGGGAGGCGGGUGGAUACUGGUCAGCUCGAGUCCGGAAGAGGAGUGUGGAAUUCCUGGUGUAGCGGUGAAAUGCGCAGAUAUCAGGAGGAACACCAAUGGCGAAGGCAGCACUCUGGGACGGUACUGACGCUGAGACGCGAAAGCGUGGGGAGCAAACAGG
rnacentral:rRNA from 1 species